AGACGGGUCUGCCCAGGGCUUAGUCUUUUGCUCCUGGCUAAGUGGGUGUCCCCUUCCUCCCUCACAGCUCCAUGUGUGUCCCUUCUGAAGCGGAGUGCUGGGGACCUCCCCGAAAUAGAGGACAGUCUUCAGUCAGGGUAUAUGAGUAGCUGUGCUCCCCGGCUAGUACCUCCAAACAAGCUCUCAAGAAAUUAGGGCCCACAGAACUCAAGAUUGCCCAGCUCAUUAGGAGCAGGUCAAGUCCAGAUCCACUCU
rnacentral:sRNA from 1 species